UGGUAUUCUUGAUUUAAAUUAAAAAGCUUAAGUAGUAAACAGUUAUAGGCUCGAAACUUAAAGGAUUUGGCGGUUUUUUAGUCCAGUUAGAGGAACCUGUCCGGUAAACGAUACACCACGAAGAAUCUUACUUUACCUCGUAGUUCCAGUCUGUAUACCACCAUUAUCAGGUAAGCUUACAAGGGUUUUGCUUUGAGAGGUUUUAAACCUAGUAAAUUAGGUCAAGGUGCAGCCUAUGGUAAAGGCACGAGAUGGGUUACAAUUUAGUAUUAGAAAAUAACGGAUAAAAAGAUUGAAUUUUUUUUUUGAAGGCGGAUUUAAUAGUAAUUUUUAUUUAACAUGGUAAAAUGAUAGUGGCCCUAAAAUAUGUA
rnacentral:rRNA from 1 species